UGCAUGUCUAAGUACACGCCGCACUAAGGCGAAACCGCGAAUGGCUCAUUAAAUCAGUUAUGGUUCCUUGGAUCGUACCUUACUACUUGGAUAACUGUGGCAAUUCUAGAGCUAAUACAUGCAGCAGAGCUCCGACCUUCGGGGACGAGCGCUUUUAUUAGACCAAAACCAAUCGGACCUCGCGUCCGUCUAUCGUGGUGACUCUGUAUAACUUUGGGCUGAUCGCACGGGCCCGUCCCGGCGACGUAUCUUUCAAGUGUCUGCCUUAUCAACUUUCGAUGGUAGGUUACGCGCCUACCAUGGUCGUAACGGGUAACGGGGAAUCAGGGUUCGAUUCCGGAGAGGGAGCCUGAGAAACGGCUACCACAUCCAAGGAAGGCAGCAGGCGCGCAAAUUACCCACUCCCAGAACGGGGAGGUAGUGACGAAAAAUAACAAUACGGGACUCUUUUGAGACCCCGUAAUUGGAAUGAGUACACUCUAAAUCCUUUAACAAAGAUCCAUUGGAGGGCAAGUCUGGUGCCAGCAGCCGCGGUAAUUCCAGCUCCAAUAGCGUAUAUUAAAGUUGUUGCGGUUAAAAAGCUCGUAGUUGGAUCUCAGUUCCAGACGGGCGGUCCGCCUACCGGCGGCCACUGCCCGUUCUGAACAGCCGGCCGGUUUCUCUUGAUGAUCUUCACCGGUUGUCUUGGGUGACCGGCAAGUUUACUUUGAAAAAAUUAGAGUGCUCAAAGCAGGCGUGACGCCUGGAUAAUGGUGCAUGGAAUAAUGGAAUAGGACCUCGGUUCUAUUUUGUUGGUUUUCGGAACACGAGGUAAUGAUUAAGAGGGACAGACGGGGGCAUUCGUAUUGCGACGCUAGAGGUGAAA
rnacentral:rRNA from 1 species